UACGUAGGGGGCAAGCGUUGUCCGGAUUUAUUGGGCGUAAAGAGCGUGUAGGCGGCCUGAAAGGUCAGCUGUGAAAACUCGAGGCUCAACCUCGAGACGUCGGUUGAAACCAUCUGGCUAGAGUCCGGAAGAGGAGUGUGGAAUUCCAGGUGUAGUGGUGAAAUGCGUAGAUAUCUGGAAGAACACCAAAGGCGAAGGCAGUGUCCUGGGUGGUCGCUGACGCUGAGAGGCGAAAGCCAGGGGAGCGAACGGG
rnacentral:rRNA from 1 species